GAUGAAGAACGUAGCGAAAUGCGAUAAGUAAUGUGAAUUGCAGAAUUCAGUGAAUCAUCGAAUCUUUGAACGCACAUUGCGCCCGCCAGUAUUCUGGCGGGCAUGCCUGUCUGAGCGUCAUUUCAACCCUCAUGCCCCUAGGGCGUGGUGUUGGGGAUCGGCCAAAGCCCGCGAGGGACGGCCGGCCCCUAAAUCUAGUGGCGGACCCGUCGUGGCCUCCUCUGCGAAGUAGUGAUAUUCCGCAUCGGAGAGCGACGAGCCCCUGCCGUUAAACCCCCAACUUUCCAAGGUUGUCCUCAGAUCAGGUAGGAAUACCCGCUGAACUUAAGCAUAUCAAUAAGCGGAGGA
rnacentral:misc_RNA from 1 species